AAUCAAUUGAGCUAAGCAUUCCUAUGACAUGCUGUGGUCAUAUUGUCUUCAUUGAUCCAAAACAUCCUAACUGCUUGUGACUGGCUGGAUGCCAACAAAGACCAACUUGUUGGGACAGUCCUCCGGCCAAGAAUUCUGGAAAUGGACGAGGAUGAAGUUACAUACACAAUU